rnacentral:rRNA from 1 species
GUUUAUCAAAAACAUGUCCUUUAGAAUUUAAUUUAAGGUCUAACCUGCCCACUGAGUUAUUAAAUGGCCGCAGUAUUUUAACUGUGCAAAGGUAGCAUAAUCAUUAGUCUUUUAAUUGGAGGCUUGUAUGAAUGGUUGGACAAAAUAUAUAUUGUUUCAUUUAAAUUUAUAGAAUUUUAUUUUUUAGUUAAAAAGCUGAAAUUUAAUUAAAAGACGAGAAGACCCUAUAGAUCUUUAUAAUUGUUGGAUUUAAUUUAUAAAGAAUGUUUUAUUUUUAAUUUAUACAAUUAUUUUAUUGGGGUGAUAGUAAGAUUUAUUUAACUCUUGUAUUAUUUAAUACAUAAAUUAAUGGCUAGUUGAUCCAGUAUUAUUGAUUAAUAAAAUAAGUUACCUUAGGGAUAACAGCGUAAUUUUUUUAGAGAGUUCAUAUCGAUAAAAAAGAUUGCGACCUCGAUGUUGGAUUAAGAGAUAAGUUUGGGCGCAGCCGUUCAAAUUUAAAGUCUGUUCGACUUUUUGAUUCUUACAUGAUCUGAGUUCAAACCGGA